rfam:Gossypium hirsutum cultivar TM-1 chromosome 2, whole genome shotgun sequence
AUUCCAUGAGAGGGAACUUCCAUAAUAAUUCUUUAUACCUUUCCCAUGCCUCAUACAAGGACUCAUCAUCCAUUUGUUGGAAGACAGUGAUCUCAUUCCUCAACUU